UCGUACUAACAAUGUAGCAAUGUACAUGCGCCAAGCUCUUAUGAUGUUUCAGUCCUGUAAUUUAUACGUUCUCUGCAUGUAGUGCGUAGGGAUAACACGUUAUGGGCUGGUCGUGUCUGUCCGUCCGGUAUGAAAUUUGAUGUGGAGGUUUUGCCAUUCUGUACGACCUCAAAGUCAUAGUUUUGAGUAUCCUACUAGCGGUAAUAACAAAACGACAGGUGAAGAAAAUAUUGAGGUGGACAUUGAAGUGCUGCAAUCCAAUGGUCAAAGUGGAAAGUAUCGAAGUCUGAAUUUGUUUACAAUGGUAACCACUGGCGACCAUUGUUAUGCGUUCUUUGAAUGUUUACCGCGGUUACUAACGAGGUAAUCGUGGUACGUAAUGAUGUAAGUAGGAUUCAACCGAAGUAUUCGUGUAUGUUUAGAUAUUUUGUUCCUUGUUGGGACAGUUUAGCUUACCUCAGAAUAGUACACGUUGGUUUAGUUAGGUUAAUCAGGUCCGUUACCGUUAAAAAUAUUAAGUGAGGUUAGGUUAGUUAAUGUUUGUUCGGUUGGUGUGAAGGUUUUGUUGGGCGGUGUUAUGUUAGUUGAAGUUACAUUACGUUAGACCAGCUGUUUUAGAGAGAAAACUUCGAACUGCCGUCCAAUUUAUUCUUCCAGAGUGAACUGUCACACUGGUUUUGCAUGAAAGUCUGCAAGUAAAAUGCAAGGAGAGUUGUGUGGGGCUGUGUAUUGGUGUUUUUAAGAGUGCAACAAAAAUUCUAAAUGUGAUAUAUUCAGGAGUGCUAGUAGCUUUGGAAGACACAAAACAUUCUUAUCAAAUAUGUAAAAAAACAAACAUAUUUUGCAAUAUGUUCUGCAAAUCAAAAUGCAUCAGUAUGCCUGAAGUGCAGGAUAUGAGUCAUUGAUAAGAUAAAGGUUGAGAAAAGGAAAGAGUAAUUUACCAGAUGGAUACAAAUCUCAGAAUUAUAUCCAGCAUUGAUACUGGCAUAUAUUCAGAAUGUCAACAGUCUCCAUAUAUAGCAAUGAAAUGAAAAUAGAAAGUAUAAUCUUAUACAUUCAUAAACUCUGAGAAAUUACACACCAGGCACUGUUUUAUUGCUUCAUGCCAUACAAUGACCUAGAAACAUACAUCAUAAUUGCACCAACAAAUUUGAGAACAAGGAGAAUAACAAGAAUUCAAGAAACAUGGCCACAACCACUUUAAGAACAGACUGUGGAAUGUGAUGUUACUUAUAAUGAAAUUAAUCAUAAGAAAAGAGUGAAAAAGGAUAAAAUUUUAUCAGGUCACAGAACUUCCUCCUUCUACCAUUAUUUACAUGUUUUAUCACUUUUAUAAAUUCAUAAAUAACUGACCAUAAAAGCCAUGUGCUAGCAAUAAAGUUUAAUUACACUUUG